AUUCUUGGGAAUCAUUCAUACAGGAAUGUUGACUCCAACAUGUUAACAGAGGUUUGGGUGAAAUACAUUAUUUCAGUUUCAUAUGAAUCUGGUUGACCUUACUCCAGAAGAAUUUUAAAUAGUCCAAGGGCUAUAAGAGAUAGAAAAGCCACAAGAAUAUUAAAAAAAACCCUACCAAAUCUAUAUGUACGUCAGAUGAUGCUUGAUGAUGUUCUUGGCCCCAUUUUACUGAGCUCUGGUGUUGAAGGUUUUGCCAUUUACCUGAUUUUGUAAAUUUAAUUUUGUUUGUUUGUUCAAAGGUGUGGUCACAUUAGAGAUAUAUUUUAGUGAACAUUUUCAAGUCAUUCACUGACCAUUGCUUUCUGUUGGUCGGUGCACCAGAUUCCUAUAAAUGACUAAAUUUCACCCAUGAAAUGUUAAAGAGCACCAGCAAAUGUGACCACACAUUAAGAUCUCAUGUGCUAGCUCAUGUGAGGUUGAGCUAAAAUAAUGACUUUUUGGUGUCUCUUAAAUUGUAUUUCAAAGGCACAUCUUCAUAGUAUGUCUGCACUAUACUCAAGUGCACCAUGAGAUUACUGAUUGUAUGUUAUGCAAACAGCACCACGGGUAGUUCAAGGAGAAGCGGAAAUGUAGUGCAUCAAAUUUCAGUUAGAUCAUACACCCAUUCUGAAGUAUCUGCCCAUUAUGGUUAAUAUGCUAUAUUUAAGCAGGGACCAGUGGAAUCACAUCAGACAGCAGAACAGCAGAUAAUCUAAACAACUGUUCACUGCAUCACCUGAUAACAAAUCUAGAAGACAUAUAUUUCUUCUUUUCUGAGAAGCUAGACAGACAUCGAUCAUUUCCAUUUGAAAGGAAUCUGGACACAAUGGCAGUUGCUCCGAAGAAGACACACCAGAAUUAUUUAAAGAGUGUCCAUGGCAUUCUAAAAGGAACUCCUGUUUUUUCGACUUUUCCAUUGAGUCUUUUGUUUGUUGGAUUGGAGAAGCUGAUUGAAAUAGAAAUGUUUUCAUGCCCAUGCACAGACAUGCUAAAUAAAUUGCUAACAGUGUCCAUCUUCACUGGACCUGCUCUUUUUACGUACGCUUUAAUGUUCCUCCUUUUAAGACCUUUUAAACAUACUGCAAGCUUACAAAAGAAAACUCUGUAUAACGGUCCUAAAAAAUUUCUAGCGUGUCUAAUUCCACCUAUACUUGGGAUCAUCAUCUUGUUAGUUGAUGGUGAUUACUUUGCUUGUGCCAUGACAGACUGGAAGGGAGUUUAUGAGUUUGAUAAGGCGAUCAACAGGUCUUGGUGUAAACCUCCUGAAGGGACACAAAAUGUGACAGAGCUGAGAGGUCUGACUUGGAAACAUGUUCAUCAAUCUCAGUGUGCCGGGUAUGUCUUGAUCUCUGUCUUCAGUGCCUUGAUGAUUGUCUUUUUGGGUAUUCAUGACUGCUGCAUUCGUGGGAGAUGUGAUUGCUGCCCAAGUCGACUGUUAUGCUGCAAACGAACAGAAGAGAAAAAGCAUGAGACAGAAGAGAAAAAGGAUGAGACAGAAGAGAAAAAGGAUGAGACAGAAGAGAAAAAGGAUGAGAGUCCAGAAAGUUCAGAAAUUAGAAAAAAGUUAAGUUUAGCCUAUGUAGUUCUUAAAAUAUAAAAGGAAUGAACUUGUGAGGGUUGUCUAAUGCAAUAACGUGCCUAGUCAUAUACACAUAAAGUUGUUCUAAAACCUUUGGAUAUUUUAAAUAAAUUUAAAGUAUGGAUUUUAAAGUAGUAAUUU
ensembl:lncRNA